GAUGAACGCUGGCGGCGUGCCUAAUACAUGCAAGUCGAGCGAACAGACGAGGAGCUUGCUCCUCUGACGUUUGCGGCGGACGGGUGAGUAACACGUGGAUAACCUACCUAUACGACUGGGAUAACUUCGGGAAACCGGCUCUAAUACCGUAUAAUAUAUUGAACCGCAUGGUUCACUAGUGAAAGACGGUUUUGCUGUCACUUAUAGAUGGAUCCUCGCCGUAUUAGCUAGUUGGUAAGGUAACGGCUUACCAAGGCAACGAUUCGUAGCCGACCUGAGAGGGUGAUCGGCCACACGGGGACUGAGAAACGGCCCAGAAUCCUACGGGAGGGAGCAGUAGGGGAACGUGGGAAAAGGACGGAAGGCAGACCGAGCAAAGCAGCGUGAGUGAAGAAGGUUUUCGGAUCGGAAAGAUCUGUUGUAAGAGAAGAAAGAGUGUGAGAGUGGAAAGUGCACGCUGUGACGGUAUCUAACCAGAAAGGGACGGCUAACUACGUG
rnacentral:rRNA from 1 species